rnacentral:rRNA from 1 species
UACGUAGGGGGGCAAGCGUUGUCCGGAAUUAUUGGGCGUAAAGCGCGCGCAGGCGGUUCUUUAAGUCUGGUGUCUAAGGUGCGGGGCUCAACCCCGUGUCGCACUGGAAACUGGGGAACUUGAGUGCAGAAGAGGAGAGCGGAAUUCCUGGUGUAGCGGUGAAAUGCGCAGAUAUCAGGAGGAACACCGGUGGGCGAAGGCGGUUCUCUG